CAGGGCUGAACCUGUUGUGCCAAGGUCACAAGUCAUAAAUGAAGGUCCUCACAUGUAGUAUCCUUCUUGGCCCAGUCUUAAAAGUCCACACUGGGGCGCCUGGGUGGCGCAGUCGGUUAAGCGUCCGAC